rnacentral:rRNA from 1 species
ACCUUCCCGAUAGGGGGACUGCGGAAGGAUCAUUACAGUAUUCUUUUUGCCAGCGCUUAAUUGCGCGGCGAAAAAACCUUACACACAGUGUUUUUUGUUAUUACAAGAACUCUUGCUUUGGUCUGGACUAGAAAUAGUUUGGGCCAGAGGUUUACUAAACUAAACUUCAAUAUUUAUAUUGAAUUGUUAUUUAUUUUAAUUGUCAAUUUGUUGAUUAAAUUCAAAAAAUCUUCAAAACUUUCAACAACGGAUCUCUUGGUUCUCGCAUCGAUGAAGAACGCAGCGAAAUGCGAUAAGUAAUAUGAAUUGCAGAUUUUCGUGAAUCAUCGAAUCUUUGAACGCACAUUGCGCCCUUUGGUAUUCCAAAGGGCAUGCCUGUUUGAGCGUCAUUUCUCUCUCAAACCUUCGGGUUUGGUAUUGAGUGAUACUCUUAGUCGAACUAGGCGUUUGCUUGAAAUGUAUUGGCAUGAGUGGUACUGGAUAGUGCUAUAUGACUUUCAAUGUAUUAGGUUUAUCCAACUCGUUGAAUAGUUUAAUGGUAUAUUUCUCGGUAUUCUAGGCUCGGCCUUACAAUAUAACAAACAAGUUUGACCUCAAAUCAGGUAGGACUACCCGCUGAACUUAAGCAUAUCAAA